ACAGUGUUGGAAAGACUUCAAGC
rnacentral:piRNA from 1 species